CCCGGCACAAGCGGUGGAGCGUGUGGUUUAAUUCGAAGCAACGCGAAGAACUUACCAGGCCUUGACAUGCAGAGAACUUUCCAGAGAUGGAUUGGUGGCCUUCGGGAACUCUGACACAGGUGCUGCAUGGCUGUCGUCAGCUCGUGUCGUGAGACGUUGGGUUAAGUCCGUAACGAGCGCAACCCUUGUCCUUAGUUACCAGCACGUUAUGGUGGGCACUCUAAGGAGACUGCCGGUGACAAACCGGAGGAAGGUGGGGAUGACGUCAAGUCAUCAUGGCCCUUACGGCCUGGGCUACACACGUGCUACAAUGGUCGGUACAAAGGGUUGCCAAGCCGCGAGGUGGAGCUAAUCCCAUAAAACCGAUCGUAGUCCGGAUCGCAGUCUGCAACUCGACUGCGUGAAGUCGGAAUCGCUAGUAAUCGUGAAUCAGAAUGUCACGGUGAAUACGUUCCCGGGCCUU
rnacentral:rRNA from 1 species